AGAGUUUGAUCCUGGCUCAGGAUGAACGCUGGCGGCGUGCUUAACACAUGCAAGUCGAACGGUCCUUCGGGACAGUGGCGGACGGGUGAGUAACGCGUGGGAAUCUGCCCUUAGGAGGGGGAUAACGGUUGGAAACGACCGCUAAUACCCCAUAUGCCGAGAGGUGAAAUGAAAUUCGCCUGAGGAUGAGCCCGCGUCUGAUUAGCUAGUUGGUGGGGUAAAGGCCUACCAAGGCGACGAUCAGUAGCUGGUCUGAGAGGAUGAUCAGCCACACUGGGACUGAGACACGGCCCAGACUCCUACGGGAGGCAGCAGUGGGGAAUUUUCCGCAAUGGGCGAAAGCCUGACGGAGCAACGCCGCGUGAGGGAUGAAGGCCUCUGGGCUGUAAACCUCUUUUCUCAAGGAAGAAGAUCUGACGGUACUUGAGGAAUAAGCCACGGCUAAUUCCGUGCCAGCAGCCGCGGUAAUACGGGAGUGGCAAGCGUUAUCCGGAAUUAUUGGGCGUAAAGCGUCCGCAGGCGGCCUUGUAAGUCUGUUGUUAAAGCGUGGAGCUUAACUCCAUUUCAGCAAUGGAAACUACAAGGCUCGAGUGUGGUAGGGGCAGAGGGAAUUCCCGGUGUAGCGGUGAAAUGCGUAGAUAUCGGGAAGAACACCAGUGGCGAAGGCGCUCUGCUGGGCCAUAACUGACGCUCAUGGACGAAAGCCAGGGGAGCGAAAGGGAUUAGAUACCCCUGUAGUCCUGGCCGUAAACGAUGAACACUAGGUGUCGGGGGAAUCGACCCCCUCGGUGUCGUAGCCAACGCGUUAAGUGUUCCGCCUGGGGAGUACGCACGCAAGUGUGAAACUCAAAGGAAUUGACGGGGGCCCGCACAAGCGGUGGAGUAUGUGGUUUAAUUCGAUGCAACGCGAAGAACCUUACCAGGGUUUGACAUCCUGCGAACCCCUGAGAAAUCGGGGGGUGCCUUCGGGAACGCAGUGACAGGUGGUGCAUGGCUGUCGUCAGCUCGUGUCGUGAGAUGUUGGGUUAAGUCCCGCAACGAGCGCAACCCACGUCUUUAGUUGCCAGCAUUCAGUUGGGCACUCUAGAGAGACCGCCGGUGAUAAACCGGAGGAAGGUGUGGAUGACGUCAAGUCAUCAUGCCCCUUACAUCCUGGGCUACACACGUACUACAAUGCUACGGACAAAGGGCAGCAAGCUCGCGAGAGUUAGCAAAUCCCAUAAACCGUGGCCCAGUUCAGAUCGUAGGCUGCAACUCGCCUACGUGAAGGAGGAAUCGCUAGUAAUCGCAGGUCAGCAUACUGCGGUGAAUACGUUCCCGGGCCUUGUACACACCGCCCGUCACACCAUGGAAGUUGGCCAUGCCCGAAGUCGUUACUCCAACCCUUGUGGAGGAGGACGCCGAAGGUGGGGCUGAUGACUGGGGUGAAGUCGUAACAAGGUA
rnacentral:rRNA from 1 species